rnacentral:rRNA from 1 species
GAUGAACGCUGGCGGCGUGCCUAAUACAUGCAAGUCGAGCGAACAGACGAGGAGCUUGCUCCUCUUACGUUAUCGUCGGACGGGUGAGUAACACGUGGAUAACCUACCUAUAAGACUUUGAUUACUUCUUGAAACCGGUGCUAUUACCGGAUAUUUUAUUUAACCUCAUUGUUCAUUAGUUUAUGUCGUUUUUUCUUUCUCUUUUUGUUGGAUCCCCUCCGCAUUAGCUAGUUGGUUAGGUAACGGCUUACCAAGGCAACGAUGCGUAGCCGACCUGAGAGGGGGAACGGCCAAACUGGAAGUGAGACAAGGUAAAGACACAUACGGGAGGAAGAAGUAGGGAAAGUAAAGAAAUGGGCGAAAGACUGACGGAGAAACGAAGAGUGAGAGAAGAAGGUCAAAGGAUCGUAAAACUAUGUUAUUAGGGAAGAAAAAAAGUGGAAGUAAGUAUGAACGUAAGGACGGUAACUAAUAAGAAAGAAACGGCUAACUACGUG